CAACCAAAUCACGUUGCAACAUCGGUUCACGUACGAUUACCGAAGUUAAGCAACGUCGAGCAUGGUCGAGUAUCUGGAUGGGUGACCACUUGGGAUACCAGUUGCUGUAAG